GUGCUGGUUUGGGCAGCACAUAUACUAUUAUUGGAAUGAUACAGAUAUUAGCAUGGCUGCUGCACAAGGAUGAUGUGCAAAGUUGAGAAGCUUUAAAAGGAAAG